rnacentral:lncRNA from 10 species
UGCCUGCCUUCACUUGAAAACUCCAAGUACUGCCGUUUCAACCAGGACCCAGAAGCAGCACCCUCACAGACACACCGAGGAUCGGUACUUUGCAUCCUUCAAUCCAAUCAAGUUGACACUCAGUAUUAACCAUCACAACUACUGAAAAAGCAUUAAAAUUCUGUAAACAUUAAUGGUCUUCCUGCAUCCUGUUUAUAAGCAAAUUUGAAAUUUAAAAAAUUUGUGUGAUGUUAGAAGGCAGCAAUAAAUGUAGAAAAUUAAAAA